rnacentral:rRNA from 1 species
CAGUAGCCGCGGGAAUACGAAGGGUGCAAGCGUUAAUCGGAAUUACUGGGCGUAAAGGGAGCGUAGGCGGACAUUUAAGUCAGGGGUGAAAUCCCAGAGCUCAACUCUGGAACUGCCUUUGAUACUGGGUGUCUUGAGUGUGAUAGAGGUAUGUGGAACUCCGAGUGUAGAGGUGAAAUUCGUAGAUAUUCGGAAGAACACCAGUGGCGAAGGCGACAUACUGGAUCAUUACUGACGCUGAGGCUCGAAAGCGUGGGGAGCAAACAGGAUUAGAUACCCCCGUAGUCCCUGUCUCUUAUAC